rnacentral:rRNA from 1 species
ACGGGAGGCAGCAGUGGGGAAUAUUGCACAAUGGGCGCAAGCCUGAUGCAGCGACGCCGCGUGAGGGAUGACGGCCUUCGGGUUGUAAACCUCUUUCAGCAGGGAAGAAGCCUUUUGGGGUGACGGUACCUGCAGAAGAAGCACCGGCUAACUACGUGCCAGCAGCCGCGGUAAUACGUAGGGUGCGAGCGUUGUCCGGAAUUAUUGGGCGUAAAGAGCUUGUAGGCGGUUUGUCGCGUCUGCUGUGAAAAUCCGGGGCUCAACCCCGGACUUGCAGUGGGUACGGGCAGGCUAGAGUGUGGUAGGGGAGACUGGAAUUCCUGGUGUAGCGGUGGAAUGCGCAGAUAUCAGGAGGAACACCGAUGGCGAAGGCAGGUCUCUGGGCCACUACUGACGCUGAGAAGCGAAAGCAUGGGGAGCGAACAGGAUUAGAUACCCUGGUA